rnacentral:rRNA from 1 species
AUGAAGCCGGAAUUGCUAGUAAUGGCAGGUCAGCAUACUGCCGUGAAUACGUUCCCGGGCCUUGUACACACCGCCCGUCACACCAUGAGAGUUGGAGAUACCCGAAGCCUGUGAGCUAACAAACGAGGCAGCAGUCGAAGGUAGAAUCAAUGAUUGGGGUGAAGUCGUAACAAGGUAAC